rnacentral:rRNA from 1 species
UACGUAGGGGGCAAGCGUUAUCCGGAUUUACUGGGUGUAAAGGGAGCGUAGACGGCAUGGCAAGCCAGAUGUGAAAUACCGGGGCUCAACCCCGGGACUGCAUUUGGAACUGUUAAGCUGGAGUGUCGGAGAGGCAGGCGGAAUUCCUAGUGUAGCGGUGAAAUGCGUAGAUAUUAGGAGGAACACCAGUGGCGAAGGCGGCCUGCUGGACGAUAACUGACGUUGAGGCUCGAAAGCGUGGGGAGCAGACAGG